GAUGAACGCUGGCGGCAUGCCUAAUACAUGCAAGUCGAACGAGAGGAAGGAAAGCUUGCUUUUCUGAAUCUAGUGGCGAACGGGUGAGUAACACGUAGGUAACCUGCCCAUGUGCCCGGGAUAACUUCUGGAAACGGAUGCUAAAACCGGAUAGGUAGCAGACAAGCAUUUGACUGCUAUUAAAGUGGCUAAGGCCAUGAACAUGGAUGGACCUGCGGUGCAUUAGCUAGUUGGUGAGGUAACGGCCCACCAAGACGACGAUGCAUAGCCGGCCUGAGAGGGCGGACGGCCACAUUGGGACUGAGACACGGCCCAAACUCCUACGGGAGGCAGCAGUAGGGAAUUUUCGUCAAUGGGGGGAACCCUGAACGAGCAAUGCCGCGCGAGUGAGGAAGGUCUUCGGAUCGUAAAGCUCUGUUGUAAGAGAAAAACGACAUUCAUAGGGAAUGAUGAGUGAGUGAUGGUAUCUUACCAGAAAGUCACGGCUAACUACGUGCCAGCAGCCGCCGCGG
rnacentral:rRNA from 1 species